UUAGAAGAUUAGGAGGAAUCAUUGAAAUUAGAUGAAUCAUCAGUCAUUAAGAGACCAGUGCAUUGUACAUUUUUUACAGCUUAACAUUUAUUAUUAAAUUAUCCACUCAGUAUAGUCUUGACCUUUGCACUGAGAAA